CAGGGCAUUACAAUUUCUGGAGAGCAUCAUAUAAGAGAUCAGCUCCUACAAACUGUGAAGUUAGUGUCGAGUUUGGAGAAAGAAAGGGAGUUGUGAAUGAGGAGAAUCUCCAACAAAUCUGGAUGACCCUUCUCUAUGCCCAUAUUUCAGCAGAAAGAACUCUGCACUUAGUGUCAAGUUCUUCAGGCAGCUGAUGCACAGUGGAUAGAGAGCUGGGCUCUGGAAUCGGAAG
rnacentral:lncRNA from 1 species